rnacentral:rRNA from 1 species
CCUAACACAUGCAAGUCGAGCGGUAACAGAAAGAAAGCUUGCUUUCUUUGCUGACGAGCGGCGGACGGGUGAGUAAUGCCUGGGAAUAUACCCUGAUGUGGGGGAUAACUAUUGGAAACGAUAGCUAAUACCGCAUAAUCUCUUCGGAGCAAAGAGGGGGACCUUCGGGCCUCUCGCGUCAGGAUUAGCCCAGGUGGGAUUAGCUAGUUGGUGGGGUAAUGGCUCACCAAGGCGACGAUCCCUAGCUGGUCUGAGAGGAUGAUCAGCCACACUGGAACUGAGACACGGUCCAGACUCCUACGGGAGGCAGCAGUGGGGAAUAUUGCACAAUGGGGGAAACCCUGAUGCAGCCAUGCCGCGUGUAUGAAGAAGGCCUUCGGGUUGUAAAGUACUUUCAGUUGUGAGGAAGGCGUUGGAGUUAAUAGCUUCAGCGCUUGACGUUAGCAACAGAAGAAGCACCGGCUAACUCCGUGCCAGCAGCCGCGGUAAUACGGAGGGUGCGAGCGUUAAUCGGAAUUACUGGGCGUAAAGCGCAUGCAGGCGGUCUGUUAAGCAAGAUGUGAAAGCCCG